CCUGUACUUGCCCAAGGUACAAGCCCAAGUUCUUUGUGUCCUUCUGUGCAAAGGACUAACUUAGAAACUUACCAUGAAAUUGAAGCUGAACUGGAUUUUUCUUUUGACUAUUUUCCAAGGUGUCCAGUGUGAUGUGCAGCUGGUGGAGUCUGGGGGAGAUGUGAUUCAGCCUGGGGGUUCUCUGAGACUCUCCUGCAAAGCUUCUGGAUUUACCUUCAGUGACUAUGGAAUGAGCUGGGUCCGCCAGGCUCCAGGGAAAGGACUAGAAUGGAUUGCAACCAUUAGCAGUAGUGGAAGUAGUACAUACUAUGCAGACUCUGUGAAAGGUCGAUUCACCAUCUCCAGAGAUGAUGGCAACAGCAUGUUACAUCUACAGAUGAAUUCCCUUAGUACUCAUGACACAGCUGUAUAUUACUGUGCAAGAAACACAGUGAGGAAAGUGCAACCAGGAGGGGCACUGGAAGAGAGACUGCUCACAGAGGACAAGCUGCCCUGCCAAUGGCCUGGCCUUCGGCUGGAGUUUGGGGCUUGGUCAGGCUCCCCUUUGCUCCACUACAACGUCGGAACCAGGGAUGUGACUAGAACUACCACCAUUGGCAAGAUCCUGGCACCAGUCCUCCUAGACCCUGAAAUUGCCAUUCAGGAGACAGUAUCCUUUGCCACUCCCUCUAAAGCACAUUCAAUGUCUCCAGUUCAAGCCCAUCCCUUUGCAGACACUGUUUCACUGCUGCCUGGGAAGCUGCUAGUGUCCCUGACAGUGCCUAGCAUGGCAGUAUGA